GGCAGUGUUGGUUCAGUGGUUAGAGCAUCAGACUGGGACCUGGGAGACCAGGGUUCAAAUCCUUGCUUGGCCA